UAGUGGCGAACGGGUGAGUAACACGUGGGCAAUCUGCCCUUCACUCUGGGACAAGCCCUGGAAACGGGGUCUAAUACCGGAUAUCACUUCUGCUCGCAUGGGUGGGGGUUGAAAGCUCCGGCGGUGAAGGAUGAGCCCGCGGCCUAUCAGCUUGUUGGUGAGGUAGUGGCUCACCAAGGCGACGACGGGUAGCCGGCCUGAGAGGGCGACCGGCCACACUGGGACUGAGACACGGCCCAGACUCCUACGGGAGGCAGCAGUGGGGAAUAUUGCACAAUGGGCGGAAGCCUGAUGCAGCGACGCCGCGUGAGGGAUGACGGCCUUCGGGUUGUAAACCUCUUUCAGCAGGGAAGAAGCGUAAGUGACGGUACCUGCAGAAGAAGCGCCGGCUAACUACGUGCCAGCAGCCGCGGUAAUACGUAGGGCGCAAGCGUUGUCCGGAAUUAUUGGGCGUAAAGAGCUCGUAGGCGGCUUGUCACGUCGGGUGUGAAAGCCCGGGGUUNACCCCGGGUCUGCAUUCGAUACGGGCUGGNUGGAGUGUGGNAGGGGAGAUCGGAAUUCCU
rnacentral:rRNA from 1 species